AUUGAACGCUGGCGGCAUGCCUUACACAUGCGAGUCGAACGGUAACGCGGGGCAACCUGGCGACGAGUGGCGAACGGGUGAGUAAUGUAUCGGAACGUGCUCAGUUGUGGGGGAUAACUGCUCGAAAGAGCAGCUAAUACCGCAUACGACCUGAGGGUGAAAGCGGGGGAUCGCAAGACCUCGCGCAAUUGGAGCGGCCGAUAUCAGAUUAGGUAGUUGGUGAGGUAAAGGCUCACCAAGCCGACGAUCUGUAGCUGGUCUGAGAGGACGACCAGCCACACUGGGACUGAGACACGGCCCAGACGCCUACGGGAGGCAGCAGUGGGGAAUUUUGGACAAUGGACGCAAGUCUGAUCCAGCCAUGCCGCGUGCGGGAAGAAGGCCUUCGGGUUGUAAACCGCUUUUGUCAGGGAAGAAACGCUCUGGGUUAAUACCUCGGGGUAAUGACGGUACCUGAAGAAUAAGCACCGGCUAACUACGUGCCAGCCGCCGCAGUAAAAC
rnacentral:rRNA from 1 species